UACGGGGGGAGCAAGCGUUGUUCGGAUUUACUGGGCGUAAAGGGCGCGUAGGCGGCCUGUGCAAGUCAGUUGUGAAAUCUCCGAGCUUAACUCGGAAAGGUCAACUGAUACUGCUCGGCUAGAGUGCGGAAGGGGCAACUGGAAUUCUUGGUGUAGCGGUGAAAUGCGUAGAUAUCAAGAGGAACACCUGCGGCGAAGGCGGGUUGCUGGGCCGACACUGACGCUGAUGCGCGAAAGCGUGGGGAGCGAACGGG
rnacentral:rRNA from 1 species